UAGCUAGUUGGUGAGGUAAAGGCUUACCAAGGCGACGAUCUGUAGCGGGUCUGAGAGGAUGAUCCGCCACACUGGAACUGAGACACGGUCCAGACUCCUACGGGAGGCAGCAGUGGGGAAUUUUGGACAAUGGGGGCAACCCUGAUCCAGCCAUGCCGCGUGAGUGAAGAAGGCCUUCGGGUUGUAAAGCUCUUUCGGCCGGGAAGAAAUCGCAUGGGCCAAUACCCUGUGUGGAUGACGGUACCGGAAUAAGAAGCACCGGCUAACUACGUGCCAGCAGCCGCGGUAAUACGUAGGGUGCGAGCGUUAAUCGGAAUUACUGGGCGUAAAGCGUGCGCAGGCGGUUUUGUAAGACAGGCGUGAAAUCCCCGGGCUUAACCUGGGAACUGCGUUUGUGACUGCAAGGCUAGAGUACGGCAGAGGGGGGUGGAAUUCCACGUGUAGCAGUGAAAUGCGUAGAGAUGUGGAGGAACACCAAUGGCGAAGGCAGCCCCCUGGGUCGAUACUGACGCUCAUGCACGAAAGCGUGGGUAGCAAACAGGAUUAGAUACCCUGGUAGUCCACGCCCUAAACUAUGUCAACUAGGUGUUGGGUGGGUAAAACCAUUUAGUACCGUAGCUAACGCGUGAAGUUGACCGCCUGGGGAGUACGGCCGCAAGGUUAAAACUCAAAGGAAUUGACGGGGACCCGCACAAGCGGUGGAUGAUGUGGAUUAAUUCGAUGCAACGCGAAAAACCUUACCUACCCUUGACAUGCCAGGAACUUGCCAGAGAUGGCUUGGUGCCCGAAAGGGAGCCUGGACACAGGUGCUGCAUGGCUGUCGUCAGCUCGUGUCGUGAGAUGUUGGGUUAAGUCCCGCAACGAGCGCAACCCUUGUCGUUAAUUGCCAUCAUUUAGUUGGGCACUUUAACGAGACUGCCGGUGACAAACCGGAGGAAGGUGGGGAUGACGUCAAGUCCUCAUGGCCCUUAUGGGUAGGGCUUCACACGUCAUACAAUGGUCGGUACAAAGGGUUGCCAAGCCGCGAGGCGGAGCCAAUCCCAGAAAGCCGAUCGUAGUCCGGAUUGCAGGCUGCGACUCGCCUGCAUGAAGUCGGAAUCGCUAGUAAUCGUGGAUCAGCAUGUCACGGUGAAUACGUUCCCGGGUCUUGUACACACCGCCCGUCACACCAUGGGAGCGGGUUCCGCCAGAAGUAGGUAGCCUAACCGCAAGGGGGGCGCUUACCACGGCGGGGUUCGUGACUGGGGUGAAGUCGUAACAAGGUAGCCGUAGGGGAACCUGCGGCUG
rnacentral:rRNA from 1 species